AGGACGAACGCUGGCGGCGUGCCUAACACAUGCAAGUCGAACGAGGUUAAUCCGGUAGCAAUACUGGUGACUGCCUAGUGGCGAACGGGUGAGUAGCACGUGAGCAACCUGCCCCGAAGACCGGGACAACACCGGGAAACCGGUGCUAAUACCGGAUACCCCCACCUAAUCGCAUGAUCUGGUGAGGAAAUGGAUUCCGCUUCGGGAGGGGCUCGCGGCCUAUCAGCUAGUUGGUGAGGUAACGGCUCACCAAGGCUUCGACGGGUAGCUGGUCUGAGAGGACGAUCAGCCACACUGGGACUGAGACACGGCCCAGACUCCUACGGGAGGCAGCAGUGGGGAAUCUUGCACAAUGGGCGAAAGCCUGAUGCAGCAACGCCGCGUGAGGGACGAAGGCUUUCUGAGUUGUAAACCUCUUUCAGCAGGGACGAUUGUGACGGUACCUGCAGAAGAAGCCCCGGCAACUACGUGCCAGCAGCCGCGGUAA
rnacentral:rRNA from 1 species